AGGAGUGUCCCCAAGAGAUGAAAUACUCUACGAUAUUGCGAAUUUUCAAUCUACAAAUCAUACCAUUUAUGUCAACAAUAACUUCCCGGCUAAUUUUGAACUGGGAGGAUCAUUUGGAGCUGGGAUUAGAUAUAAGGAUUGGAAGCUUCUUGUUGGGUGCAGUACUGUGAUAGGAUGUUCUAGGAACUAUAAUGAGACGUAUGGUGGAAACACAAGUAUUGAUAGAGAACUUUUAUACAAUCUAGUAGAUGAUCCUUCAGAGAGUCAAGAUCUUUCAUCAGAUCCUCAGUAUUCUGGUAUACUAGAGGAGCUUAAGGUUCGGUUGGAAUAUCAUCUUGAUGCUGCAGUUCCUCCUCUCCACCUUCCCCAGGAUCCUGCAGGACUACCUAGUCACCACUUCCCCCCUGGUCAACUACAUGCUGGAUGGUGUGAACCUAUUUACGAACCUUUUCAUUAGAAUUAAUAUCACUAAAUAUAUAUUAAAAAAUACUUUGCUUA